GGCCACCAUCAGUUUCUUUACAACUAUUAAAGCAGCAGUGGGGUUGUGCUUGCUUAUUUCAGAGCUUGGUGCUGCUAAGGGGGUUACCUACAGGUGAAAGUCGUUUUCUUUACAAAGUUCUCACUUCCAGAGCAUGAGAGUUGAAAUACUGUGGUAUCAGCUCAAGUGGUGUUUCACAGUCUUUACGGUCAUGCAGGCUGGUGUUUCUCUCCUCUGAUUUCUUUAAUAUGGGAAAUGUUAGCUGUGAAGUCCUAAUCAACUAAUUGCUUCGGUCUUGCUAAUUGCACUCAGCCUGAUCUACAAAAGGAAGAGUCAUUGGACUGUUUUCAGUGUUUCCUCUGGACAGGUUGGACCUACAGUGAAAAUAGGUGGGUGCACGUUUAGUUUGAUGAUCCCAGAGAAGUGUAGCCAUAAAACAGCCAUCAGACUGCUCAACUCCAUGAAGACAGAAUCAGUUCUAGAUCCAGCACAAAAAGUACAAAUUUAAUCACACAGAAAACAAAACUAAGCACUGCUGGUGCGCUGCUACUGCAAUCUGCUCUGUAGGAAGCUGCAGAGGGAGGGAGGAGUGUCUGGCAGAGUGUUUACAUGGGUGGUACAAGCAGAAACUGCAUCAGCAAAGCCCUGUGGCUGGGAGGUACAGAGGAGAAUUGCAGGCUGUGACCAAGUUCAACCUGAUGGUAUAUGGCAGUUUUCACCCCCUACAUCUUCAAAAUAUUUGCAGACAUGAGUUACGAAACUUCACAAUGCCACAGAGUUUUCUAAAGACAGGAGAGUAGUAAGAGAAGAAAAAAACUUUACUGAUUCUCCUCAAAACUGUGGAAGAAGGAAAGUAAACAUUCAAUUAAGGAGAUUCACUACAUUUAUGUCACGCAGUCUCCUUUACUAAAUAUUAUCCCUUAUAUUUUGUGCAAUUAGCCAACUCAGUUUCCUCAAAUAAAUGCAACGUUAAGAACA
rnacentral:lncRNA from 1 species